UCCUACGGGAGGCAGCAGUGGGGAAUUUUGGACAAUGGGCGAAAGCCUGAUCCAGCAAUGCCGCGUGUGUGAAGAAGGCCUUCGGGUUGUAAAGCACUUUUGUCCGGAAAGAAAUCCUUGGCUCUAAUACAGUCGGGGGAUGACGGUACCGGAAGAAUAAGCACCGGCUAACUACGUGCCAGCAGCCGCGGUAAUACGUAGGGUGCGAGCGUUAAUCGGAAUUACUGGGCGUAAAGCGCGCGCAGGCGGUUUGCUAAGACCGAUGUGAAAUCCCCGGGCUCAACCUGGGAACUGCAUUGGUGACUGGCAGGCUAGAGUAUGGCAGAGGGGGGUAGAAUUCCACGUGUAGCAGUGAAAUGCGUAGAGAUGUGGAGGAAUACCGAUGGCGAAGGCAGCCCCCUGGGCCAAUACUGACGCUCAUGCACGAAAGCGUGGGGAGCAAACAGGAUUAGAUACCCUGGUAGUCCACGCCCUAAACGAUGUCAACUAGUUGUUGGGGAUUCAUUUCCUUAGUAACGUAGCUAACGCGUGAAGUUGACCGCCUGGGGAGUACGGUCGCAAGAUUAAAACUCAAAGGAAUUGACGGGGACCCGCACAAGCGGUGGAUGAUGUGGAUUAAUUCGAUGCAACGCGAAAAACCUUACCUACCCUUGACAUGGUCGGAAUCCCGCUGAGAGGUGGGAGUGCUCGAAAGAGAACCGGCGCACAGGUGCUGCAUGGCUGUCGUCAGCUCGUGUCGUGAGAUGUUGGGUUAAGUCCCGCAACGAGCGCAACCCUUGUCCUUAGUUGCUACGCAAGAGCACUCUAAGGAGACUGCCGGUGACAAACCGGAGGAAGGUGGGGAUGACGUCAAGUCCUCAUGGCCCUUAUGGGUAGGGCUUCACACGUCAUACAAUGGUCGGAACAGAGGGUUGCCAACCCGCGAGGGGGAGCUAAUCCCAGAAAACCGAUCGUAGUCCGGAUUGCACUCUGCAACUCGAGUGCAUGAAGCUGGAAUCGCUAGUAAUCGCGGAUCAGCAUGCC
rnacentral:rRNA from 1 species